UACGGAAGGCAGCAGUGGGGAAUAUUGCACAAUGGGCGCAAGCCUGAUGCAGCCAUGCCGCGUGUAUGAAGAAGGCCUUCGGGUUGUAAAGUACUUUCAGCGGGGAGGAAGGCGAUGUGGUUAAUAACCGCAUCGAUUGACGUUACCCGCAGAAGAAGCACCGGCUAACUCCGUGCCAGCAGCCGCGGUAAUACGGAGGGUGCAAGCGUUAAUCGGAAUUACUGGGCGUAAAGCGCACGCAGGCGGUCUGUCAAGUCGGAUGUGAAAUCCCCGGGCUUAACCUGGGAACUGCAUUCGAAACUGGCAGGCUAGAGUCUUGUAGAGGGGGUAGAAUUCCAGGUGUAGCGGUGAAAUGCGUAGAGAUCUGGAGGAAUACCGGUGGCGAAGGCGGGCCCCUGGACAAAGACUGACGCUCAGGGUGCGAAAGCGUGGGGAGCAAACAGGGAUUAGAUAACC
rnacentral:rRNA from 1 species